rnacentral:lncRNA from 1 species
AUGCAGACAAGCAACAGGAUUCUGAAAUUCCAAGUGAGCUCCACGGGACGUGAGCAGCUCCAUUUUCUUUCCCCAGCACGGACUGCGGAAAAAGCGUCUCCAAGAGAGCCGGCCGCCGCACGCCCGUCUGUCGGGCACAGGGCGGGGGCAGCUGCCCCCCCCCCCCGUCGGCGGGCGCCCGCGAGGGGCGCGGCCCGAGCCCCGCCGCCGAGCAGCACCGGGCUGCGAGCUCCGCGCCGCGCCGCCCCCCGAGCCGCCGUGCCCGCCCCCCGGCCUGGCGCUGCCGCGGGGCGCGAGCAGCAGGCUGCGGAGGCGGAAGUGAGAGUCUUCACCUAUCCAUCUGUUGUUCUAAAGUUACCCAGAAUUUUGUGCAACUUGCAACACAGAGAAGAAGCUGAGAAGCUCGCGUAUCAGUGCUGUUCCGGGAAGCUGUGCCUGUCACUCUACUUCUGCGCAUGCGCGGAGCCGGCCGGCUCGCCUAAGGAGAGGGACCAAGCAGCGCUGUAAGAGCCCCGCCCGCGGCAAAAUGGCGGCGCCCUUCUCCGCAGUGGGAGCCGCACGGGGCUGGCUCUGUGGGCGGAAGCGGAGCCGUGACUGGCUGGGAACCGAGGGCAAAAUAGACUUCAGGGCGUGCCGGCAUCCAGGGAGGAAACACUCCGUGCUUGGCUGGAGCACAGGGCGGAAUGGCGUUAAUGCGUGCCUCCAAUGAGACCCGAAACACUCUGUGAUUGGCUACGAACACUGAGGGCGGAAUAACCGACAAUGGACGCCCAGAGCAUACCGGGAAAUGAAGUUCUGGGACUCCGGACUUCAGGGAGGCCAUGUUUGGCUGGUAGGCAGGUGGAUGUGGGGAGCAACUUUGCCCCUCCCCUUCUCCAGGUGAUUGGGUUUGGGUGCUGGGCGGGGCCGAAUGCUAUAUGAGCCCCAGGCAUGCUAUCAGAGAGCUCCUUCUGCUUGGGCUGCUCUUUGGGGUAAGUGCUUUGUUUUUCCUUCAGUCAGUUGCAGGGUUCUCUAGGCAGGCUGGAGUUUAUAGAUUUCUAGAAUUUUUAGGUGCUUGGAAUUCACUUAGGAGAGGGAUGUUU